UUGCCUUAAACCAAUGAGUAAGGAAAACAAUGCGAGCGGUGAGAGCUGCUCGCUGCGCUUGUAGCGUAAGAAAUUUUGGAGGGUAAUAGGCUGGCCAAGUGUAGACGCUGCUUACUUUCGCAGAACUCGCUUGUGCGGGCCUCCCUU